rnacentral:rRNA from 1 species
GACGAACGCUGGCGGCGUGCUUAACACAUGCAAGUCGAACGGAAAGGCCCUGCUUUUGUGGGGUGCUCGAGUGGCGAACGGGUGAGUAACACGUGAGUAACCUGCCCUUGACUUUGGGAUAACUUCAGGAAACUGGGGCUAAUACCGGAUAGGAGCUCCUGCUGCAUGGUGGGGGUUGGAAAGUUUCGGCGGUUGGGGAUGGACUCGCGGCUUAUCAGCUUGUUGGUGGGGUAGUGGCUUACCUAGGCUUUGACGGGUAGCCGGCCUGGGAGGGUGGCCGGCGACAUGGGGCCUGAGAGAGGGCCCAGUGUCCUACGGGAGGCAGCAGUGGGGAAUAUGGCCCAAUGGGCGGACGCCUGAUGCAGCAACGCCGCGUGCGGGAUGACGGCCUUCGGGUUGUAAACCGCUUUCGCCUGUGACGAAGCGUGAGUGACGGUAAUGAGUGAAGAAGCACCGGCUAACUACGUG